ACACAGCCAAGCCCUUUAAACAAACAUUGUGGAAAUGUUAGGCCAAGCGGUCAGAAAAUGGAACCGGGCAGAGGACGGGACACAGAGAGUGCCAGCUGGGGGCUAGAACAUUCUCCUCCUGCCACCAAGGAGCCGUGUGACUGGGACAACUCACCUGCCCUCUCUGGGCCUUGAGUUUCUUAACCCAAAAGUGAGAAAUUGGGUAGGAGUAAUUUCUAAGUUCCCUGAAAAGAAUGGAAUGAAAUCACCAUGCUCAUGCAGUCAGGGUUUGUACAGGUUGCUGGGCUGGGUUUGCAUUGUCUUCUUUUGUGCUGGACUGCAGGAGCAGAAGAGGAAGCUGACCACAUGCCUCCGUUCACAUGCAAAGCCCUUCCAUGUCAGCGGGGUCACGCUCCACGUGUUGUUCUGCCACUGCCUUUGGUUUCUCGACACUGCCUCGUGGACACAGGGAGAGCUUGCAGCUGGUGACGAACUCUCCAGGAGGUUCACAUGCCAUUUAGAAAGUUCAUCAAACCUAUCCAUUAGAAAGAGAAGAGGAUGCUGUUUCCAAAUGGCAGCCUGGGCUUUGUGUAAUGGAUGCUGGUACCCAGGUCAGUGAACUUCUCUAAGCCUCAGUUUCCACAUCUGGACAGGCAGAACAGGC
rnacentral:lncRNA from 1 species